GAUGGACGCUGGCGGCGUGCCUAAUACAUGCAAGUCGAGCGAACGGACGAGAAGCUUGCUUCUCUGAUGUUAGCGGCGGACGGGUGAGUAACACGUGGAUAACCUACCUAUAAGACUGGGAUAACUUCGGGAAACCGGAGCUAAUACCGGAUAAUAUUUUGAACCGCAUGGUUCAAAAGUGAAAGACGGUCUUGCUGUCACUUAUAGAUGGAUCCGCGCUGCAUUAGCUAGUUGGUAAGGUAACGGCUUACCAAGGCAACGAUGCAUAGCCGACCUGAGAGGGUGAUCGGCCACACUGGAACUGAGGCACGGUCCAGACUCCUACGGGAGGCAGCAGUAGGGAAUCUUCCGCAAUGGGCGAAAGCCUGACGGAGCAACGCCGCGUGAGUGAUGAAGGUCUUCGGAUCGUAAAACUCUGUUAUUAGGGAAGAACAUAUGUGUAAGUAACUGUGCACAUCUUGACGGUACCUAAUCAGAAAGCCACGGCUAACUACGUG
rnacentral:rRNA from 1 species